UUCGCAAUGCCCGAAAGGGUGAAUGAGCGACGCCGCGUGCGGGAUGAAGGGUUUCGGCUUGUAAACCGCUUUUCUUUGGGAAGAAGGUCUGUCUCGUGCAGAUGGGCUCGACGGUACCAGAGGAAUAAGCCUCGGCUAACUCCGUGCCAGCAGCCGCGGUAAGACGGAGGAGGCAAGCGUUGUUCGGAAUUAUUGGGCGUAAAGGGCACGUAGGCGGUUGAGCAAGUCCAUUGUGAAAUCCCCCGGCUUAACCGGGGAACUGCAGUGGAUACUACUUGACUUGAGUGCAGAAGGGGAGAGUGGAAUUCCUGGUGGAGCGGUGAAAUGCGUAGAUAUCAGGAGGAACGCCGGUGGCGAAAGCGACUCUCUGGUCUGUUACUGACGCUGAGGUGCGAAAGCUAGGGGAGCAAACGGGAUUAGAUACCCCGGUAGUCCUAGCCCUAAACGAUGGGCACUAAGUAGAGGGGUUUU
rnacentral:rRNA from 1 species